AUGGGGAUCAAGCCGUCGUCAUUGCGACCCCCAUGGAGCUCGCCCGCGCCCCCUGCGACCGAAGGCGGUGGCACUCCCGUUUGGCUGCCGCACGACGUCGUCUUCGACAUCCUGUCGUGGAUGCCGGUGAAGUCGGCGUGCCGGUUCAAAUCCGUGUGCCGGGAGUGGCGCGCCCUCAUCAACGACCCUGGCUUCGUCGCCGCGCACAAGGCUCGUGCGGAGCCGCUCCUCGCCAUCGCCGCCAACUCGUGCGACGAGCCAUCGACCCUGCGGCUCAUCGACAUGGACGGCCACAUCAUCAAGGUGAUAAAAAACUCUCAUCCGAUUUUAAGGUUUGUCUGCAGCAGCCCUGGCAACCUGGUGUGUGUCGUCGGCUAUUCGCUGGAGACAGCCAGAGUGCUCAACCUUGCAACCGGAGAGGCCACUGUGAUUCACCGCAAAUUUAGCUUUAUGGGCUUCGGCCGCGCCGCCCCGUCGGGUGCCUACAAGAUGGUCAGCAUAAGUCCCAGCACCUGUGAGAUCCUCACGGUAGGGGAUGACGUGGGCUGGAGGCAAACGCAGCCCCUGCCUAGCAGCAUCUCCUAUAACAGCCGCCCUGUCGUGGUCAGGGGUGUCAUGUACUUGAUGUUAGCUCCACAGCUCAAUGGUGAUAGCGUGACCUGCUUCGAUCUGGAGAGUGAGAAGUGGAAUGGGGGAAUCAAAGGCCCACCGAAUAUCCAACUUCACCGGUUUGACAUUACCUUGGAGGAACUCAACGGGGCCCUGUGUAUGCUCCAGCCGGAGGUAGGAAACAUUUACCAUGGAACCAUGAGCAUAUGGCUCCUAAUCGAUUCCCGCAAGGGGGUCUGGAUCAAGGUGUACUCGAUCCCUGUGGACCCGUCUGCCUAUGGUCCCAUUGUGCCUUUGAGGAUAUUACGUGAUAACGGUAAACUGCUCUUCCAUGUCACGCUUAAAAUCGACGAAUUCGCGGUGCUGCAAAUCUAUGACCCUCGUCAUCGGACAUUCACGGACGCCCCCAAGAUGCUCGCGGGUGACAACGGUGGCGGUAUCAGCUUUUGCAGCCUGCAUUUGGAUAGUUUUCUGCCCGCCACCGUCUAG
rnacentral:rRNA from 1 species